CAGGGGGCGCUCUCCGGUCAGGUGUGUCUUGUGUGCUACCUUCACGUCGCCAGCUGUAAACUUUGACCACUGCUGCAGAUGUUGUCUUCACAUGUGUUCUAUUCAGGCACCCGCAGACCAGACGCUGCGACUUGUUUGAGAAGUUGAACUCGGGACUGACCUCUCCGCUUGAAUGUUCACUGACAGACAGAACGGGACGAUAAUGGCCGCCCUCGGACACCCUGCACCACGGGGCAUGGAUGUGAUGGGC